rnacentral:rRNA from 1 species
GACGAACGCUGGCGGCGUGCUUAACACAUGCAAGUCGAACGGUGAAGCUCCAGCUUGCUGGAGUGGAUCAGUGGCGAACGGGUGAGUAACACGUGAGCAACCUGCCCCUGACUCUGGAAUAAGCGCUGGAAACGGCGUCUAAUACUGGAUACGAGAAGGGUCCGCAUGGGCACUUUCUGGAAAGUUUUUCGGUUGGGGAUGGGCUCGCGGCCUAUCAGCUUGUUGGUGAGGUAAUGGCUCACCAAGGCGACGACGGGUAGCCGGCCUGAGAGGGCGACCGGCCACACUGGGACUGAGACACGGCCCAGACUCCUACGGGAGGCAGCAGUGGGGAAUAUUGCACAAUGGGCGAAAGCCUGAUGCAGCGACGCCGCGUGAGGGAUGACGGCCUUCGGGUUGUAAACCUCUUUCAGCACGGAAGAAGCGAGAGUGACGGUACGUGCAGAAGAAGCGCCGGCUAACUACGUG